UUGCUUCCAAGGAGUUCCAUUGUAUCUGUAGCCUUAUUUUUAAGUUUCCGGCAGCAUUUGCUCAAAUGACAGUGUGACACUAGAAAAGUCCAAUAGAGCAAGAUCAAAAUACGCUCCACAAGGAUGAAGAGACACACCCACACAGCCACGGUGAUGCCUUGGGGGUCGGAGGGCAGCAUGGGCAUUUCUCCUCAUCCCAGAGGGAUGCGGAGCUGCGGUGGGAGAGAAGGCAUUCCUUCAGUGAAGAGGAUGCUUGGCUACUUUGUGGUACUUGCUGCUGAGUGAAAGAAAAUUAAUAUGACUUGGAAGCAUGCAUAGAAUCACUGAAACAUUCAGCAUACAUUAGAUAGUCACUAUUAGGGUAACUAAAA